AUAGUCUACUUUGGCCUUUUGUCCAAGAUCAAGUGUAGUAUCUGUUCUUAUCAGUUUAUCUGAUACGUCCCCUACCCGAGGACCAUAAAUUAAAUGAUUUUUUUGGAACAGGGAGAUGGAAUAGGGGCUUGCGUCGUCCACUCCAUGCAUCAACCUGGUAUUGCAGUACUUCUUUAAGGGAGAGUGUCGGCCUA
ensembl:snRNA U2 U2 spliceosomal RNA